GGGCUGUGCGGCUUCUGCUGGCUUUUCUACGAGGUGGGAGAAUUCAUCCACCUCAUAGAAAAGCCCGCAGGAGCCGUGUAGCCU